UACGGGGGGGGCAAGCGUUGUUCGGAAUUACUGGGCGUAAAGGGCUCGUAGGCGGCCAACUAAGUCAAACGUGAAAUCCCUCGGCUUAACCGGGGAACUGCGCUUGAUACUGGAUGGCUUGAGAUUGGGAGAGGGAUGCGGAAUUCCAGGUGUAGCGGUGAAAUUCGUAGAUAUUGGGAAGAACACCAGUGGCGAAGGCGGCUAACUGGUCCAGAUCUGACGCUGAGGUGCGAAAGCGUGGGGAGCAAACAGG
rnacentral:rRNA from 1 species